rnacentral:ncRNA from 1 species
CCACUCUGGAGAGUGCCCCCGAGGGCACGCCGACGGGGAAAGCCGCGACGUCGCCCGGCGCGACGUCGCGGUGAAACUCUCAGGCCAGCAUGACAGAGCGGGA